UACGGAGGGUGCAAACGUUGCUCGGAAUCAUUGGGCGUAAAGCGCACGUAGGCGGUCCAGUAAGUCGGGUGUGAAAUCCCUCGGCUCAACCGAGGAAGUGCAUUCGAAACUACUGAACUUGAGUAUGGAAGAGGAUCGCGGAAUUCCCGGUGUAGAGGUGAAAUUCGUAGAUAUCGGGAGGAACACCAGUGGCGAAGGCGGCGAUCUGGGCCAAUACUGACGCUGAGGUGCGAAAGCGUGGGGAGCGAACAGGG
rnacentral:rRNA from 1 species